AUUGAACGCUGGCGGCAGGCUUAACACAUGCAAGUCGAACGAGAGGCGGACGGGCGAGUAAUGCUUGGGAAUCUAGCUUAGGGAGGGGGAUAACUACGGGCAACUGUUGCCAAUAACGCGUACCAUAGGAUGAGCCCAAGUGGGUUUAGGUAGUUGGAGGGGUAAAGGCUCACCAAGCCGACGAUCUCUAGCUGGUCUGAGAGGAUGACCAGCGACACUGGAACUGAGACACGGCCCAGACUCCUAGGGGAGGCAGCAGGGGGGAAUAUUGGGCAAUGGGGGAAACCUGACGCAGCCAUGCCGCGUGAGUGAAGAAGGCCUUCGGGUUGUAAAGUUCUUUCGGUAGCGAGGCGUUAACUACAGAAGAAGCACCGGCUAACUCCGUGCCAGCAGCCGCGGUAAUUC
rnacentral:rRNA from 1 species